rnacentral:lncRNA from 1 species
GGGAAAUUCAGUUUCCCUCCGAUCAGCUGAAACCCUAGCGUUCAGCCGGCGCAGGGAGUUGUGCUUGGUAGGAGAAGGUGAUGCCGUCCCUGGAGUAUCUCUGAAACAUAAAUUAUUGCCUGGGCAACAGCAGCACCAGGGUGGCACAUGGCUUGGGCUGCAAAACACACUCUAGUGGCAGAGAUGAAAUUCUCAGGGGGACUGUAGUCCCUUGGAGAAUCUGAUGCGAGGUAACCACGCUUUUUCCCAGAAAAUGCCCUCAUGCACCAUUUCACACACAGUGGGUCCUUGAAUAGCAUCGUUUUAUUCAAUGUCAUUUUGUUAUAACAUUGAGAAAAAAAUUGAUUCCCGGCUGGGGCCACUGUCUGUGUACAGUCUAGACGUCCUCCCGGUCUGAGAGUUUUCUGGGCACUCUGGUUUCCUCCCACACCCCAAAGAUGUGCAGGUGAGGUUUGUUGGUGUCUGGUCGCAGUCUGAGUGUGUGUGGGGGGUGAGUGUGCCCUGUGAUGGGAGGGCAUCCUGUCCAGGGUGGUCCCUGCCUUGCACACUGAGCUGUUGGGAUAGGCUCUGGUCGCCCACCACCUUAAACUGGAAUAACUGAGUUGGAAAAUGAAAGAAGGAAUGAAUAAAAAAUUAUUGUAAAAUAAAAAUUGCCUCCCAUAACCAUACAAAUGCACAAUAGUAAAUGACGCUGUACGGAAGUGCCCAGUGAGCCCGUUCAUUCUGGUGUUUGACCUGCGUGGUGGAAGGAGGCGCUCCUGACAAUUUUUGCUUUGCAAACAUUUAUUCUGUGAUAUAACUCACCAUCGCUGCAACUGCCAGCACCCAGAGUCACCAAAAAUUGGGUAAUUAUCUUGUUUUUAGUAAUUUUUCUUAAAUGUAUGUAUAACUAACUCAUGUCUAUUUAAUGUUUAAUAUUAGAAGUGUUUGGUUUAAAGUUCUAAAGUUUGGUGAAGUUUUUAUGGCCAGCAAUAUGCCGUGGGAACUUAACUCUUGUUUACAUCCAUUAGCCUAUAGUAAAAUUAGUUUCAUUAUAUAUCAUUUUGCCUAAAGUUGCCAUUUCUUUUUUUGAGACGAAGUCUCGCUCUGUCGCCCAGGCUGGAGUGCAGUGGUGCGAUCUCAGGUCACUGCAACCUCUGCCUCUUGGCUGCAAGCGAUUCUCCUGCCUCAGCCUCCCAAGUAGUUGUGAUUACAGGCACACGCCACCAGGCCUGGCUAAUUUUUGUAUUUUUAGUAGAGAUGGGGUUUUGCCAUGUUGGCCAGGCUGGUCUUGAGCUCCUGACCUCAGGUGAUACGCCUGCCUCGGUCUCCCAAAGUGCAGGGAUUACAGGCCUGAGCCACCUUGCCCAGCCAAAAUUAGUUUCAUUAUACCUCAUUUUGCUUAAAGUUGUAGUUUCUAAGAAAACCUAUUGAUGACGGUUGGUGAAGAGUUACUGUACCAUGUUGCGGGUCUCCUGGAUCCUGGGCUGGGAGCGCCUGUAGGGGAGGUUCUGGGAAAAUCCAAUUGACUGUGGGUUUACAAAACCACCACAGUGGGAGGUAAGAUUUCAAGGGGGUGGGAAGAGCUGGAAUUGUGGCAUGCCAGGGGAUUAUCACUGUAUGCCUUGCCCAAGUUAAAAUAACUUGACCAAUAAAGAAAUUCAAAGCAUUUAAUAUUAGAACAACUACGGACAUCAUAAAGCAGAAAGCAAGUCCGACAGUGUUUUGAGAGGCGACCUGAGAUCUUCAGGUGUUUCACCAUCCAGCUCCCCUGGCAGCAUGCUCGAGUAUCUUCUACCUUUAGGGGAGCCGGGGAUGGAGGCGUCCCUGAGAGGGACUAAAGAAGGAAAGUAGAGGAUCAAUUGGCUAAAAACUCAGAACUUGUGAAAGGGUCUGGAUAAAGGUAAGGGGGCUUAAUUUGGAUACAUGUUGGCUUAUAAAGGAGCAUUUACCCUUUCCCUGUCAGUGUGAUUGAUUCCAGGAUGUUGAGGUUUGCAGUAGAAAACACUGCCUGAAGUUGGCGUGCUUGAAGAUUACAGCUUGGGUCCAAAAAAUUCUCCUUUACAGAACCCAGGCAACUUCCACGAAUGGCAGGCCAUCUCCACUUAGGAAGUCAUCUGGUUGAAAGGAAGCAGAAAACCCUCCAGUCCAUCUGCCUGCAGGAAGGCGGGGUCUGAAAGAAAGCGCUCUGGACCGGGAGGUGACGCUUCCCAGUCACAGCUGUAUCUGCUCCAUUCCCCUGUGUAGUUGGAGAUGAAUAUGGAAUGGCUGCGUAUCUUAAGCAAUCUGAAAAACCUUCCAGAACCUUCAUGACGUGAAGGUUCUAGGCUUUGGAGUAAUGGCAAGCACUUGCCACUGAUACGUACACGUGUGCAACUGAGAGGACUCGGUUUUCUCUGGAAUGAGUGUGGACAAACGGUUCCCAUGUGGUAGGUACUUCUGCAUCCUCAGGUACCUUUUCUCUUCCUCAUAGACCACUGUACCUUUAUGUUUUAUCAAGAGUUGUAUAUUUUGUCUUUUUUUUUUUUUUUAAACUGCUUUUGGGCUGGGUACAGUGACUUACACCUGUAAUCCCAGCACUUUGGGAGGCUGAGGCAGGCAAUCAUCAUUUGAGGUCAGAAGUUUGAGACCAGCCUGGCCAACAUAGCAAUAUCCCCCGUCUCUACUAAAA